rnacentral:rRNA from 1 species
UGGUGAAUAUUGCACAAUGGGCGCAAGCCUGAUGCAGCCAUGCCGCGUGUGUGAAGAAGGCCUUCGGGUUGUAAAGCACUUUCAGCGGGGAGGAAGGCGUUAAGGUUAAUAACCUUGGCGAUUGACGUUACCCGCAGAAGAAGCACCGGCUAACUCCGUGCCAGCAGCCGCGGUAAUACGGAGGGUGCAAGCGUUAAUCGUAAUUACUGGGCGUAAAGCGCACGCAGGCGGUCUGUCAAGUCGGAUGUGAACUCCCCGGGCUCAACCUGGGAACUGCAUUCGAAACUGGCAGGCUAGAGUCUUGUAGAGGGGGGUAGAAUUCCAGGUGGAGCGGUGAAAUGCGUAGGGAUCUGGAGGAAUACCGGUGGCGAAGGCGGCCCCCUGGACAAAGACUGACGCACAGGUGCGAAAGCGUGGGGAGCAAGCAGG